rnacentral:rRNA from 1 species
GGCUGUCGUCAGCUCGUGCCGUGAGGUGUUCGGUUAAGUCCUGCCAACGAGCGCAACCCUCGUGGUUAGUUGAAUUUCUCUAGCCAGACCGCCCGCAAAACGGGGAGGAAGGUGGGGAUGACGUCAAGUCAGCAUGGCCCUUAUACCCUGGGCCACACACACGCUACAAUGGACGGUACAAUUGGUAGCGACAGAGCGAUCUGGAGCCAAUCUAUAAAGCCGUCCUCAGUUCGGAUUGCAGGCUGCAACUCGCCUGCAUGAAGCCGGAGUUGCUAGUAACCGCAGGUCAGCAUACUGCGGUGAAUACGUUCUCGGGCCUU